GGCUGAUCAAGACAUGAUCCACGACUUCAAAAAUGACGCCAGACUUCUGGAACAGUCCCAAGCUGAAGUUGAAGAUGAGGAAGAUAUGAGCCACACAUUCAGAAAAGAAGACAGGCCUGUGGAACAGUGCCAAGCCGAAGUUAAAUUGAUAUACAGAAGACACACUGGUCAGCCAAGGAAUCAUGCUCUGUGAAUAGCAAGAAUGUUACUUGAGCCAGGGAAUCAUGUUCUGUGAAUAGCAAGAAUGUUACUUGAGUCAGGGAAUCAUGUUCUGUGAAUAGCAAGAAUGUUACUUGAGCCAGGGAAUCAUGUUCUGUGAAUAGCAAGAAUGUUACUUGAGCCAGGGAAUCAUGUUCUGUGAAUAGUAAGAAUGUUACUUGAGCCAGACACUGAAACUGUACUAGCCUCAUUGUUGUCUAGGUGGAAGUGACUUGGAUUGAAAUAGUUGUCUAGUGGGCAGCAGAAAUGGAACCCUAGCCGGACGCUGGACAUGUGCUGACAUCCAAUUUGUCAAGGUGGAAGUGACUGUGGUUGGAAUACAAACGUAGGUGUCUAGUGAGCAAUAACAAUGGAACUCAAGUCAGACAUUUAACAUGUUCUAACCUCCCUCCUGUUGAGGUGGAACUGACUAUGCCUUUAAUAGUUGUCUAGUGAGCAACAUUAAUGGAACUCUAGCCAGACGCUAAACAAGUACUGACAUCCUAUUUGUCUAGAUGGAAAAACUGUGGUUGGAAUAGUUGUUUAGUGUGUAGUGGAAAUAGAACUUAAGUUAAACAGUGGACCUGUAUUGACCUCACUCCAGUUUGGGUGGAAGUGCCUGUGCUUGGGAUAGCUGUCCAGUCAAGAAUUACAAACCAAAUCUUGUCAGGAAAAAAGAAGUGGACGCCGCAGGAACAACUAGUUGUGAUGAGUGAAUUUGAAAAAUAUAUGCAUCUAAACAAAUUGACUGGAAAGUCCGAAUGCGAGAUAUGGUUAAAAGAAAACCUGUGUUUAAGUAGAAGAAGUUGGAGAAAUAUUAAGACUUUGUUCGAAAUUAGACAACUACAUUUAUCAAGCAUCAGGAAAAUUAAAACGACUGAGGAAAGAACAAGAUGAAAGGACAAGAUGCUGUAGAUUUGAAUGCUGUAACUAGCAAUUUGCAAAAGUGUUUUGGAAACAAUCCAAAACUGAUGAUAUCAUUAUGUAACAGUAAACAAUAUAUAACACUUUUUAACAAACAUUUGUUGAUUAGGCUGUUUGAAAUUUUUAACUAUAAAGUUAUAUUGUGAAACGAAUUGUGUCCAUGUUUCAUAUUCUGUAGGGAAAGUAUUGUUUCAGAAAUGGAGUAUGCUCAAUUAUUAAUUUUAAUAUAUAGUUAAGUAAUCGCAGUCUCUUUGAAGACAUUUUAUAAACAUGUUUGGCGACCGUCAUUUUCAAUAAAAUAAACAUGUAUGUUUUUUAAUUGCGGUUAUCAUUAUGCUUUAAAUAUA